rnacentral:rRNA from 1 species
AUUGAACGCUGGCGGCAUGCUUUACACAUGCAAGUCGAACGGCAGCACGGGUGCUUGCACCUGGUGGCGAGUGGCGGACGGGUGAGUAAUACAUCGGAACGUGUCUAGAAGAGGGGGAUAACGCAUCGAAAGAUGUGCUAAUACCGCAUAUGCUCUGAGGAGGAAAGUGGGGGAUCGAAAGACCUUACGCUUUUGGAGCGGCCGAUGUCUGAUUAGCUAGUUGGUGGGGUAAGGGCCUACCAAGGCGACGAUCAGUAGUUGGUCUGAGAGGACGACCAGCCACACUGGGAUUGAGACACGGCCCAGACUCCUACGGGAGGCAGCAGUGGGGAAUUUUGGACAAUGGGCGCAAGCCUGAUCCAGCAAUGCCGCGUGAGUGAAGAAGGCCUGGUUGUAAGCUCUUCUAGUCGAGAAGAAAAGGACUAGCGGUGAAGUAACUAGUAGUUUAUGACGGUA